AUGAAUUUCACUUCAUUGAACUACGCACAUAUUCAUAAUUAUUAUUAAGUCGGAAUAAAUCUUAGCUAAGCUACGACACGUUAGUGAUUAAUUGCUUUUUCUUUUGUUAUGCAUUGUUUUAAUUAGGCAGAGGUGAAAAUAUGCGAUUUUGACUAACAUUUUUGAUCGGCCUCGUACAUGCUUAUUUUUUCUCCACUUGGUAUGAAACGCAUGUCAUUCAAUAGCUAAAAGCCUGAUCUUUCCAAAUUUGAAAACCAAUUGUUCAUACGCCGAGUGAUUCACGUAUAAUAGCGCGCUGAAGUUCGAUUACCUUUUUUUU